UCUGCCUUUUCAUCUUGUCUAUCUUUCUGUGAAUGUGGUUUUUGUUCCACAGGCUGCAGGAUUCUAGUUCUUGCUUCUGCUGUCUGCCCUCUGGUAGAUGAGGCUAUCUAAGAGGCUUGUGCAAAUUUCCUGAUGGGAGGGACUGGUGGUGGGUAGAGCUGGCUGUUGUUUUGGUGGGCAGAGCUCAGUAAAACUUUAAUCCACUUGUCUGCUGAUGGGUGGGGCUGGGUUCCCUUCCUGUUGAUUGUUUGUCCUGAGGUGGCCCAACACUGGAAUCUACCCGGGCUCUUUGGUGGGGCUAAUGGCAGACUCUGGGAGGGCUCACGCCAAGGAGUGCUUCCCAGAACUUCUUCUUCCAGUGUCCUUGUCCUCACGGUGACACACAGCCACCCCCCGCCUCUGCAGGAGACCCUCCAACACUAACAGAGAUGGCGUCCUGAUGAAAGACAAACACGCCGCUCUUUAUCUUCGUUCGACGACAGUGGGAAUUCAAGUGAAGACACCUUGCUGCCAGGGAGAACGCUCACUCCCAGGGAGACGAUGAGAAUGCAAACCGGCAGGACGGAUGGUGGGAGCACAUACAGCGAGCCUCAGGAGGGCCAUCACCAGGUCUCAUGACCCGGCCUUCCACCCGGUCUCUGCCCCAUCACUCCACCGCCACCCUGCCACCAGACUGAGCUUUCUACAACAAAAACCGCACUUCCUUGAAACGGUCCUGGUCCCCAUAGUCUAUGGCAGUGGUCCCCAAACCCGGUGCUCCAUCAGAGCCAUCUGGGCACGACCCCACCCCAAACCUUCAGAAACAGAAUUCUCGGGGACAGACAGACACAGAAAGGAAAUCUGUAUUUAUAUUUUACUUUUCCUUCAGCCUUUCGGAAUCAAAGAAAUAAUUCUAACCACCAGAAAGAAAUCAAUCUUCCAUGAUAUAUAUUUCCAUGGGAAUUUCAUUUUCCUUCUAAAAGCCUCUGAGGAUUCCUGGGUUAAAGGGAAAGAGAUUCUGAGAUUUUCCUUGUUUUUUCUUUUUCCUACUACCCCAACUCCUGCCCUUUACUUUUUCCUUGAUCAGUUUGGUGGUCUUGUAACAGGGAAGAGCCAAAUCUGACUACAUGUUGGAUCUGUUUCUUUUACUUUUUUUUUUUUUUCGCGGUACACGGGCCUCUCACUGUUGUGGCCUCUCCUGUUGCGGAGCACAGGCUCCGGAUGUGCAGGCUCAGCGGCCAUGGCUCACGGGCCCAGCCGCUCCAUGGCAUGUGGGAUCUUCCCGGACCGGGGCACGAACCCGUGUGCCCUGCAUCGGCAGGUGGACUCUCAACCACUGUGCCACCAGGGAAGCCCCUCCCUGUCCUGUCUUUGUUUCAAAUGAUCCCCACCUCCCUACUUUCCCCAGGGUAUCACCACCACCAGGCUGACACUAAUUAGUGGAUAAUAAAGCUUACCUAAUGACACAGGAAAGACUAAAGGCAGAAUAGGAAACAAGGUAUUAUUCAAUAUGACACCACUUCUCCUUGAAGGACUUGACCCUUCCCACCAUUAGAGGAGUAACAGGAUGGUUAUUGCUGUCUUUAUGCCCUGACCUUAUCUGCUCCCUGCCCCAGAGUGCCCUCUUCCCAUCUUCUCUCUCCUCCCCUCCCCCAGUAUCAGGUUCCUACCUGCUAUCAAAUGAAUGCUUGUAUUCCCCCCAAAUUCACAUGUUGACACCCUAACCUCCAAAUGUGAUGCAUAUCUAUUUGGAGGUGGGACCCUUGGGAGAUGAUUAGGUUUAGAUGAGGUCAUGAGGAUGGAGCCCCACGAUGGGAUUAGUGCCCUUAUAAAAAGAGGAGAGACCAGAGUUUCCCUCUGUCUCUCUCAUGUGAGAACAUAGCAAGGAGGUGGCUGUCUACAAACCAGGAAGAGGGCCCUCACCAGGAACUGAAUCCACUGGCACCUUCAUUUUAGACUUCUCAGAUUCCAGAGCUGUGAGAAAUAAAUGUUUGUUGUUUAA